CUGAUCACCAGUCAACACAGUGAAAUUAAAAAUUAACAUGCUGCUGUUUGCUGAACUGUAAUCUUUGAAUUAGUCAAUGACCAGAGGCUGUGCCAGUUGCUUGAUUUGAAGGUGGCCACGGAUUCCGCUCACAGACCAGGCCAGGGGAGAAUAUGUUUCAAGCCACGUUUCCAGAAUUAUACAGUUGCAUGUGAAAUGCCUCAGCUCCUGCUGAUGAAGUGAUUUCUGCAGAGAACUGGCUGCCUCCCAAGAGGAAGGACGGGCCCCUGAGAUGUCUCUGAAAAAGAUGAAAGACUAUCCGAAAGAGCAGGUUCUCUGGGUCAAGAAUUUAGACAGAGCACAAAGGGGAUGGCUUGUCACUACUCCGUGACAUCUGGGACCUCAGCUGGGAAGACUCAAAGCCUGGGGGUGACUCAACAGGGAGCUGUCGACUGAAAAAAGGCACAACUUAAAAGCUGAGAAUUAUAUUUUACUUGGUGGACGUACUGAGGGCUUAAGCCCAGAAGACAGCCUCUCAGAUAACUAUGAGGGACGG